GACUAGCAUUCACCAAGGAUGAACUGAAAGCAGGAUCUGUCUCACCAUACACUGAGAACUGUAGAAUAUGCAAGGCACAUGGAACUUAUUUUCUUACGUAUAAAAGCGUGUAUAUGCUCCUUAUACAUCUGUCCUAAUGCUUUCCAACAGUCCUCACUCUAAGCCUCACCAAGACCCAGAUGAGGAAACAAAGGCACAGAGGGAUAAACUCAGAGCAGGAAGACAGCAAGGAAUAGCAGUGAAAAGCAUGGUGCUUAAUCCAACCCCUUACUCACUGCUGAGACCUGGAAAUGUGUUCAUCAGCUACAAAACAGGAGAGAUGAUAACUCAUUAUGUAUAUGUGAUGAUAAACAGAGACAAUAUAUUGAAGAGCUUAUAUGAGUGGCAGACACGGGACAUGCUUCCCUGUGGCUGGCCAGCGUGUCAUCUUCUCCAUGUGUCCAGAGAAAAGCUUUGCAAAUCAACCUCUCGAUGAAUGAUGACGGCACCAGUGAAAUCAGGGGAGGCAGAAAAUCAUGAACAUUGAGCAGUGCUCGUGCUGGGUGGAUUGUGAUGUGGAAACCCUGGGAGAUGUCACGUCUGACAUCAACUUUCUCCCAGGUGACAGCUGCACCCUCUAAAGGCUUCUCAAAUGACAGAGCUCAAUGAAUAUAGAAGGGAAAAGUAUGAGGAUGACCUAUGAGCACAGGGUGGACAGUCUCUGCGGUGGGCAGGCAUUAGCAAAGGAGAGACCUUCUGUAUUAUGCAGGCAGGCAUCUGGUGGACCUUCUUCUUGGAUUGUGAUUCAAAAGCCCAAACCAUUCCUCACUGGUCUGAAAAAGUGGAAUUUUCCAGAGGCUACAUGAUGAGUGACGUCACGACAGAUUGAGUACAGAGCCAACUAUGAGAAUCCAGCUGCCUUCUAUUAAGGUACCCUUUCUGUGGAUACCUUCAAGUUCCAGCACCAAAUAUGAAGGCGACUGCCAUCACCAGCUCCCACCCCUACAUGAGGUCAAAUCCCUGGAUGGCAUAUAACACACUAGAGCAAUUAAGAGGAUCUAACUAAAGGUGGGGAAGGAAAAAUGUGUGUACAGAGACAGGAAGUCAUGGACACAGUUAUAUUGAAAGAUACAAUGACCUCCUCCUCCUCCUCA
rnacentral:lncRNA from 10 species